UGAGUAACCUGCCCUUCACUCUGGGAUAACUCCGGGAAACCGGGGCUAAUACUGGAUAUGACUCGAACAGGCAUCUGUUUCGGGUGGAAAGAUUUAUUGGUGGAGGAUGGACUCGCGGCCUAUCAGCUUGUUGGUGAGGUAAUGGCUCACCAAGGCGACGACGGGUAGCCGGCCUGAGAGGGCGAUCGGCCACACUGGGACUGAGACACGGCCCAGACUCCUACGGGGAGGCA
rnacentral:rRNA from 1 species